UACGAAGGGGGCUAGCGUUGCUCGGAAUCACUGGGCGUAAAGCGCCCGUAGGCGGAUUGUUAAGUCAGGGGUGAAAUCCUGGAGCUCAACUCCAGAACUGCCUUUGAUACUGGCGAUCUUGAGUUCGGGAGAGGUGAGUGGAACUGCGAGUGUAGAGGUGAAAUUCGUAGAUAUUCGCAAGAACACCAGUGGUGAAGGCGGCGCACUGGCCCGAUACUGACGCUGAGGUGCGAAAGCGUGGGGAGCAAACAGG
rnacentral:rRNA from 1 species